rnacentral:rRNA from 1 species
GACGAACCGUGCGAACGUUGUUCGGAAUCACUGGGCUUAAAGGGUGCGUAGGCGGGGUGGCAAGUCUGUGGUGAAAUCCUCCGGCUCAACCGGAGAACUGCCGUGGAUACUGCUACUCUCGAGGGGUGUAGGGGCAUGUGGAACUCAGGGUGGAGCGGUGAAAUGCGUAGAUAUCCUGAGGAACGCCGGUGGCGAAAGCGACGUGCUGGACACCUUCUGACGCUGAGGCACGAAAGCCAGGGGAGCGAACGGG